CACGGACUUCGGUCUGGUGGCGAGUGGCGAACGGGUGAGUAACAUAUCGGAACGUAUCCAAUAAUGGGGGAUAACUAAUCGAAAGGUUGGCUAAUACCGCAUACGCCCUACGGGGGAAAGCAGGGGAUCUUCGGACCUUGCGUUAAUGGAGCGGCUGAUAUCUGAUUAGCUAGUUGGUGAGGUAAAGGCUCACCAAGGCGACGAUCAGUAGCUGGUCUGAGAGGACGACCAGCCACACUGGAACUGAGACACGGUCCAGACUCCUACGGGAGGCAGCAGUGGGGAAUUUUGGACAAUGGGCGCAAGCCUGAUCCAGCCAUUCCGCGUGAGUGAAGAAGGCCUUCGGGUUGUAAAGCUCUUUCGCAAGGGAAGAAAACUUACUUUCUAAUAAAGAGUGAGGUUGACGGUACCUUGAUAAGAAGCACCGGCUAACUACGUGCCAGCAGCCGCGGUAAUACGUAGGGUGCGAGCGUUAAUCGGAAUUACUGGGCGUAAAGCGUGCGCAGGCGGCUUUGUAAGUCAGAUGUGAAAUCCCCGAGCUCAACUUGGGAACUGCGUUUGAAACUACAAGGCUAGAAUAUGUCAGAGGGGGGUAGAAUUCCACGUGUAGCAGUGAAAUGCGUAGAGAUGUGGAGGAAUACCAAUGGCGAAGGCAGCCCCCUGGGAUAAUAUUGACGCUCAUGCACGAAAGCGUGGGGAGCAAACAGGAUUAGAUACCCUGGUAGUCCACGCCCUAAACGAUGGCUACUAGUUGUUGGUGGAGUAAAAUCCAUGAGUAACGCAGCUAACGCGUGAAGUAGACCGCCUGGGGGAGUACGGUCGCAAGAUUAAAACUCAAAUGAAUUGACGGGGGCCCGCACAAGCGGUGGAUUAUGUGGAUUAAUUCGAUGCAACGCGAAAAACCUUACCUGGCCUUGACAUGUA
rnacentral:rRNA from 1 species